rnacentral:misc_RNA from 1 species
ACAAAGCAUUGAUGCAAUCCCUUGCGCAGUGGCUUCAACUGUGGCUUCUGCUAAAGGCACUUGUCUCUGCUUUUUAUUGCAUGAAAUAUAGCCACCCAGUGGUUCGUGUUGAACUUCAAUUCCUUCAACUUGCCUUAAUGGAGGAAAGAGCAGAGCAGGCUGUGAAAGUACUCGGAAAAGUAAAGCAGCUGCAGCAUCCGCAGCAAUGCCUGCUCUCAUGGACAUGGCAAUUCCAAUUGCACGCAAAAAAUGCAAAUGCAUCCAAUUCCUAGGAAGCCGUAAGUUAGUAGCAUAAUCUUCAGCUGCUCGAAGAAG